rnacentral:rRNA from 1 species
CGGAUUGUAGUCUGCAACCCGGCUACAUGAAGCUGGAAUCGCUAGUAAUCGCGGAUCAGAAUGCCGCGGUGAAUACGUUCCCGGGUCUUGUACACACCGCCCGUCACACCAUGGGAGUCGGAAAUGCCCGAAGUAUGCAACCGCAAGGAGCGUCCUAAGGUAAAACCGGUGACUGGGGCUAAGUCGUAACAAGGUACC